rnacentral:rRNA from 1 species
UAUACGGAGGAAAAGAAACUAACAAGGAUUCCCCUAGUAACGGCGAGUGAAGAGGGAAGAGCUCAAAUUUGAAAGCUGGUACCUCCGGUAUCCGCGUUGUAACCUCGAGACACGUUUUCCGUGCGGCGCUAUGGACAAGUUCCUUGGAACAGGACAUCGUAGAGGGUGAAAAUCCCGUACUUGCCAUGGAUGUACCGUGCUUUGCGAUACGUGCUCUAAGAGUCGAGUUGUUUGGGAUUGCAGCUCAAAAUGGGUGGUAGACUCCAUCUAAAGCUAAAUAUCGGGGAGAGACCGAUAGCGAACAAGUACCGUGAGGGAAAGAUGAAAAGCACUUUGGAAAGAGAGUUAAAAGUACGUGAAAUUGUCGAAAGGGAAGCGCUUGAAGUCAGCCAUGCCGCUCAGGACUCAGCCUGGCUUUUGCUUGGUGUAUUUCCUGGGUAGCAAGUCAGCAUUGGUUUGGAUCGUCGGAGAAGCAUAGUCGGAAUGUGGCGCCCUCGGGCGUG